GAAGUAAACAAGAUAGUUAAAGAUGGUCAAAAAAUUCUUUGAUAUGAAAAUGAUAUGAAAUUAUACAAUAAAAAAUCCGUAGACAUUGCUGAAGAGGGCUGUAAAUUGAUGUAUAGAUACGAAUUUUUCUGUUAAUUUGAAUUGCAGAAGACUCUAUUAUUGUUGACUCCCUAUUUCAACGAUCCAAACGUGGCUGACUUUGUCGAAUUGAAAGACUGUACUAGGGACGUUACAGCUCACUGGAAGAGUUAAAACAUUUUGACGGAUGUUAAAAGCGUCAACAACGAAAGGAAAUUAUUACUUACACGGGCAGGGAUUUUCAUCGCGCAGUAAUGUCAGAUACAUAUGACGCCGGUAUGACCUAAACACAGAGACGCGUACGGUACUCGCUGGCGAACAGGCAAGACUAGAUGUUGCGUUCCAGUAGAAGUAGCGGGUCACAAGUCGACAACCUGUCGAGGUGAUCGUGGAAUUGACAGAAAAAAAUCUUGGUUCGUUUUUAAAGAAACUGGAAUGCUCGUCCCAGUUGGGUCGCCUAUUUGCAGGUAAUGCAGGGAUCAUCUGGGUAAAAUGAUG